CACGUAGUUAGCCGGGGCUUCUUCUGGAGGUACCGUCACCCUCUGGGCUAUUAACCCGAGUGGCUUCGUCCCUCCUGAAAGCGGUUUACAACCCGAAGGCCUUCUCCCCGCACGCGGCGUCGCUGCGUCAGGCUUUCGCCCAUUGCGCAAGAUUCCCCACUGCUGCCUCCCGUAGGAGUCUGGGCCGUGUCUCAGUCCCAGUGUGGCUGAUCGUCCUCUCAGACCAGCUACGGAUCGUCGCCCUGGUGGGCCAUUACCCCACCAACAAGCUAAUCCGCCGCGGGCUCAUCCUCAGCCGGAAGCCGAAGCCACCUUUUCUGACGAAUCCGAAGACUCGAAAGGCUAUCCGGUAUUAAUCCGGGUUUCCCCGGGCUAUCCCAGUGCCGAGGGCAGAUUACCCACGUGUUACUCACCCGUUCGCCGCUUUCCCCAGGCCCGAAGGCCUGGUUCUCGCUCGACUUGCAUGUGUUAAGCGCGCCGCCAGCGUUCGUCUGACGCCGAGGACUCAAACUCU
rnacentral:rRNA from 1 species